ACGCUGGUUGCCCAGUUUGGUCCAGGGUGCCCUGGAUGCCGGUUGCCCGGCCGUCAUGUCUGUCUGGGUUGCCCUGGACGCUGGUUGCCCAGCUCAUGGUUCAGGAUACCGCUAUACGGUCAAUGUUAACUGCCUGAUUCCGGACUUCGACGCAAUUGGAUGACACUACGUCUGUCAUCUGUUUAGAUCGCCUCUGGCCCGCUAUAUCAGCUACACAUAUAUUGGUUCCCCGCGAUGCAAGGGGCAAAAGUUACGUGCAUCAUACUCUUUGCCAGACUCGAGUCUCUCCCUGAGGAAACGCUUCCGUGAGAACUCUGGAUUCCCAGGGUACAUUGUCAGUCGCUUUGAUUAAAAAUGUCCUGGCCACAUGGAAUGUCACGUGAAUGCACACCCCUCCACUCACUCAGGGGCCAGUGCUUGGCGCAUGACUAAUAUAAUUUCUGCAUCCAGUUGGGCGAUAUGUAUUGCUUAUUCUCUCCUCAUUGCUACCUUUACUCAUUGUCUCUCCAGCAGCCAGUUCUAAACUGUACUAUCCUGCCACAGUGGUGCAGCUGGUAUAGCAAGCUCGCGUUAAGUCAUUCUCAGAGCUCCUCUGCACUCUGAGAUGCAUAAGCACCAUGGUGGUACCCCAGCACUCAUCUGUUCGUUGUCUCGUCAUAUUUCAGUUACAUAUGUUUCUUCCUCCUGUCACAUACAGGCAUGAAUUGUCCUGAAGUCCUUUGUCUACGUCGCAAGGUCAUGCUUCCCUCGCAUUACUGAUGCUGCUCAUCUUAUUUUGGGGGGCUUUCCAAGAGCAGGUGCUAAGGUGUAGCUCACACGCAUCCAUCUUGGCCUUGGGUCUGCAGCUCAAUGCAUUCAUCUCACUCUAGCCGCUGCAGGUGAGCUAUCGAACCAGAACACACAUCUGGCUUCACAAGCACUAGUCUUCUACAAAACUAGUCAUAAUGCUUAUCUAUCCUAAAUAUUAAACCACAUGACUUCGAAGCGAAUAUACUCAAGCACCCAUAUCAACUAACUCAUUGCUCUGGUCCCAAGCAUCUGCAACCACAAGCUCUAUUCCCCUGCAUUGAUUCUGAGUACAUCAUGUUUAACCUUUUAACCCUAACCAUGUUUUGCUUCCCUGGUCCCCGUUCACUACCUUAAACUAUGGCUCACACUUUACCUGAUUUUCAGCAGCCAUCUAGCUAACGUGCUGCUUAAAUGUAACCUCUCUUCAAAGAGGUUCACUUCUCACUCAUUCCGCAUCGGCGCAGCCAAGACUGCCGGCCAAAAAGGGCUAUCCACGUCAUCCAUCAGGAUGCAUCAAACUAACUCCUCUUGACAUUUUCGAUGCUCAGAAGUUGCUCUCCCAUGUUAACUCAGGUACCUCAUUUUACCUUCACAAAUCCUGGUGGCGGUGGUUAAAUUCUGGCAUUCGCCUUGCACUAAUCGCUGAAACAUAUUGGGGCCCACCAUGCCGGUAGCUUGUGGUGAUUUAGUCUCAGCCAUGGGCAUGUUGCCCUUUUCACUGGUUGCCCAGCUCGUUCGACGCUUAUGGUUCAGGUCACUUCUCGCCGGUCGCCCGGCUCGUGAUGCACGUCUAGGUUGCCCUAGACACUGGUUGCCCAGUUUGGUCCAGGUUGCCCUGGAUGCUGGUCACCCGGCCAUCACAUCGGUCUAGGUUGCCCUAUACGCUGGUUGACCAGCUCAUGGUUCAGGUCGCGUCGUACGCCGGUUGCCCGGCUCGUGACGCUCGUCUAGGUUGCCCUAGACGCUGGUUGCCCAGCUAAUGGUCCAGG